AUAAAUUUUUGUAAGUCUUAGUCUUAGGGGCUCUUGAGCCCCCAUGAGGGCUAGGAUCAGUCUCCGGGCCUGUGCCUGGGGACUACCACAAAACACCUGUGCACUUGAAUGUAUCUUGGAUAGGAAUUUUCUUAUCCAAAAACUUUUUAAACCCCUAUUGAUUAUGUCUGAAUUAUUUUAUUAAAUAUAAA
rnacentral:misc_RNA from 1 species